CUCACCUAAAAACAAGUAGGUCCUCCCCUGAGAGGGACAGAUCUAAGAUCCUUUAGAAGGAAAAUUGUAGAUUUACUGGGUGUGAUGUUGUAGAUAGUUGAGUUGAAUAACUAAAAAUAAGGAACGAGGCAUUGUCAAUUAAGUUUGUAAUUUCUUUAGCCCUGGCCAGGAAAAAAGCAACAUGAACGAUAAUGAAGUUACCACAAUUUAUGAGUAGGUUGUUUGGUAUUUUUUUAAAGAUUUUUUUUAUAUUUAUUAAGAAGUAGUUUUAAACAAUGCCAACGUUAAUAGUUAGGUUGUAGGGUAAUCCGCCUCGGUGGUAUGCCCAUUUAAACUAAACUGUAUCACAUUAGACCCUAGACAUUGUUUGAAAUAUUUUUGUUAAUGUACUGUACAUAGUUCCUAGAUUGUCUACGUCCACUUGUUUCGGGGAAUGCAUUAGAAGAACUCUCUAGCAAAAUGCCUAGUUCAUAAAAAAAUGUCAACUUCGUCAGCUUCUUGGCCAAGUUGUCUGCCACUCUAUUUUACACCUGAAACACAUGGGUCAUCUAUUGAUUUUAUGUUUUCGCAUCAAGUACCUGCACACAUCAACAUUGUUUUCAUAUAGUGUAUUAGUUUUUUUUAAAGCAUUUGAAUAGUCUAAAUUAAAUCAAAAUUUAUUUCAAGAGGAGUGAAUAUGUGGUAUACAACUAUUUUGAUCCCUCAUCGCAUUACUAACAGUUCAACUCUUAUAGUGUGUGUGUGGGGAGCAUCAUCUAAAACAGAAAUGAUCCAAUGGACCAGUUGAUUUUCUUUUUUAGUGCUUUAUUUGCCGAUGAGUAAACUCUACACAUUGACCUGAGAGAUGGCUUGGUGGCCACUAAUGGGACUUCUUUGGUGAUUGAAAGUGUUAUUAUUCCUUGUUAGCCAUAUGUUCCAUGGCCAUAAAGGAAUAGGAGUAUUCUGGUCCAUCCAUUGGUUUAAAUGUUUCCCCAUAAGUUUAUUCCGUUAAUCGAUCCAAUUGCUCAUAUUUAUCCUACCCAGUUUCCGCUCUUUACAUUCCAAUGGUUGAGUGAAUUUAGGCAUUCUAAGAACAUCUGAAUAGUCUCCUCCAUUGGUAACAACAAUAUCACAUUUUGUAUGGAGAUUCAUUCCUUUUUGCUAAAGGGACUAAUUUUUAGGUAGUCUUCAAUGUUGCAAUAAACAGACGAAUGUUUCAAUUUCACUGGGCCCAUCUGUAGCCCAGAUCAAUUUAAGAUUCUCAUUUGGAAACCCUGGGUUCUUGAAUGUUUUAUCCUUAAUAUAGUCGUACGUUGUACUUCUUAAGAUAUACCCAUUCCUUGUAAGUCCCCAAUCCAAUAUAUAUUCUUUUGUUCCCUGUUGUGGGACGAGGUGGCGGUUAACCAUGCUAUUCGUACAGUCAUGCAAUUUGAAGGAACGUUUUUCAAAUUCCCAUGUCUCGUGUUUAUAGAUUUCAGAAAUCUCAAUUUUUCCUUCCUCAUUGGUCGUUGGGCCUUGGAUAAUGCUUCGCAUAGUCUCAAUGUGGUAGCAAAUUACCACUGAAAAAGUUCAAUCUGUUUUCUAUAUGCACUAUCCACUUUGCUUCCUUUAAUAUGUCUAUUAAACCAUUUUGAAAGUUUUUCCAUGUUCCAGAGACAACUCCUUAUUUGGAGAUUUUAUUGGACUUCCAUUACCUUCUCAUUUGGACUUUACUCUAUAUAUUAUUUGGUUUCUGAUCCUCCAGCAUAGGCUUGAGAAAAUAGUUGAUUUUCGUAUCUCACUUUUCUAUAUGCUAACCCCUCUCAUGUUUUUCCUAUUGGUUAUCAUGUGUUUAUUAAGGAGUGUUUCCCAAUUAAGAAGGUAUACUAUCAUGUCUCGUUUGUUGUCCCCUAGAUGAAUUAUCUCUAGAUUUUGUUCCUUGUGCUAGUAAUAUUUCAUAACGUUGUUAUAUAUUGAAUAACAUGUAAGUUGAUGCUUCUAAGGGAGUCCUUAGCAAGCACUACAGUACGUGUAUUAUUGAGGAGUUCUAUCUUUCAGCAAGACAUAUUUUUCAUCAUGUUGUCAAUGAUUUAUUGAAAAUCAGUAUUCCUCGGCUUCUGUUUGAAGAUUGGCAAUCCUAGCGAUUUCCCAAGGAUUUUUUAGGCUUCUAUCCUCAAGGGAGUGGAGCACAUGGUUCUAGUAUAUUUGUGGUGUUUUAGAGUAGAUGAUUUGGAUUGGAAAGUAUCACCCUUUGUCUAGAGUUGGUGCAAAAAACAUUGAGUAUCUUGGAGGUGGCACUAUAGUUCUUAUUGUUAGCUCUAGCAAACAUACAGGGGUCAUAAGAAAAUAAAAUAUGGAAAAUUUUUAUUCCUGUCAUAGUGAUUGUUAAUGGGGGUCUAUUGUUUUUGUACUAAACCUCUUUCAAUGUCUCCUUAUAGCUUUUCCAUACACAUGAUGAAGAGAUAGUGAGAUAGGUGGUCUCUUUCUCUAAUUCACAUUUAGGGUCUAAAGAAACUAGUUCUUUUUCUGUUGACAAGUAUGACAAUAGAGCUAGUGCAAAUGCAGAGAGGAUUAACUUGGAGAGUUUAUGAGAAAAGUUGAAGUUCUAGAGGGUUUUACUUAUGUAGAACCAUUCAAAUUUGUCAAAGGCUUUUUCGAAGUCAUUUUGAGCAUGACGUUGGACUUUUAACCUUCAAUCUUCCCUAAAUGGGAGAUGUGUUCUUUCACAAUGAUAGUAUUGUCAGAAGCUUCUCUGUUGUGAAGGAAACUAGCUCAAUUGAUUCCAAUGACUGAAGAAGGAUGUGCUUUAUUAUUUUUACUAAGAUCUUUCUUACAAGCUUGUAAGUUGUAUUGCACAGGCCAAUGAGAAUUCCAUCUUGUGAGGGUUAAGGGGUUAGGACAUUUGAGGAUGAUGCACAUAAUGAUAUUUAUGUGAUAGGUAGGAAUGUGGUACUUUUCAAAAGCAACUUUAGAGAAGAUUAUGUUCUUUCCACAAACAAUAUUGCAGUUCUUUUGGUAGAACAUGUCGUUCAAUCCAUCAAGCCUAGGGGCUUUGAGUGGGUGGAAGGACUUGACGGAAUUAGAGAUUUCAUUAUAUCCAAGGGGGGAGUCAAAGGAAUUGUACAUUUCCUCAGAGGUCUUUUCCCCUAUAAUUGAUGUUUUUCUAUUGGAUUGGUUGUGCUUAGUGGUGUAAAGGGUUCGAAGAAUUUGGUUAUGUGGUUCAUGAGUUGAUCUUGGUACUCUAUUAGCUUUCAACUAUCACCCUUCAUUGAGGUGAUACAAUUUCUUAUCCUUAUAUUUACUGUAGAUGUUUGCAAGAUAUUUGUGUUUUCAUCACCCUCUCUAAUACAAUUUAUAUUAGGCUUCGUUUUUAUAAAUUCUUUCUAAGUAUCUAGGUGGUUUUUGUACUCUUGAAGGACACUAGAAUAUAGAUCUUGAAGGAAGGAUCUAUUGAGGUAUCUUAGGGACCUCUGAAUCUGAUAAAGUCUUGAAAUAAUUAUUCUGAUGUUUCUGAAGAUGUUUCGAAAGGCAAAGGUAUUCAAAAAGGUGGCCUCUUUUUGGAAAGGAUUUAUGGAUGCAUAAAAGGUAUCUUGGUUAUCAAACUAAUAUUGGACCAGGAGUUUUAAUGAUGGGUGCCCACACCACAUUUUCUUCAUUCUGAAUAGUUUUAGACCAUUAUUUAUUAAGUGUAAUGAUCAUAGUGCAGUGGUCAACCAUGCUUCAUGGAAGGUGGGCUAUUAUAGAGUCGGGGAAAAGCCUUAUCUAGGCAUCAUAUCAAACACACUUAUAUAGUCAUUCAAAGACAAGGUUGCUUCUAUUCCUAUAUCUCCAGUUAGUCCAAUUAUAUUUACAAUAUUUAUGUCCUAAGUACAUAAUUUUGCAUUCAUUCCAGCAAUUCAAGAAGAGACUAACCCUAUUGUUAUUAAUGCUAUUCCCUCCUAGCUUUUCGUUGGCAUGGGGGACAUUAUUGAAGUAUUUGUGUUUGAGAGGCUACCUACUUCUUUCCAGACGUAAGUUCUAGUGUUGAAGUAAAGAAUAACAUAGACUACUAUCAUAAAAGAAAGAUGGGGAGUCCGAUAAUAAAUUGACAAAUAUAAGGAUUCCUUUGGGGUUAUUGACAAGUUUUCAAGCUUCAGUGUGUCACAGUUUAACAUUAUAACUAUCUGUUCUAAGAUACCAUUUUUAGAAAACAAGAUUUGCGAGUAAAACAUUACGUAAUCAGUAAGGCUUCGAUGCGUAUUUAUUUUUCUUUCAUGUAAAACGAGCAUCACGGGCAUGUGAAUGUUCACCAUUGCUCUACACCAUCGCCUGAAGCUCGCGUUAUCGUCUCCUAUCUUGUUCCACAUAAUAAAAUUCAUCAAAAACUCAUGUUGUGUUGUUACACCUACAAGCCCUUCCCAUUCUCAUUCUCCACUAUAGAUGUAUAAUCAAGUGGGGUUCUGUACCACUACUGCAUGGAUAGUUCCUUCUCGUUCCUCAAAUUCAAGAUGCAUCUCUUAAUCUCAUGUGGAAACUAGACUAUUACUCUAAUGUUGAAGGGUUCCUCGAACUCCUUGAAGAAUAACAUCUCCAAGAUGCACGUCUCCAUACUUUUUUUCAAAGUUCUGUAAAUCAUUCUUCUCGUUCCUAAUUGUUAUUUUAUCAGUUCUAGGAUUGAGGUUUCCAUUCCUUCUAGGUUGUUAUUCUCUCCUUCUAUUUAUGGUAUUUAUGAGUAUAAUAUGUUCUAGACCUCCUGAGGUAUUUUAGGUAGGAAGGAAAGACUCUAAGCACUAAUUAAGUAUGAGAGAGUGCGAAAGAAGGGGAGGCUCUAGAAUAUGUCGUUUAUCAAUACACUUAGUUCCUCCAUUGUUAUUGUGUUCCUAUUUCCACAUAUCUGGGUUUAUAUUUGUGUCUGCAUCGAUAUUUGUUGGCCUUAUUCUGUAAUUACUUUGUUGAUCCCAUUCUUGAUGAUUUUGGAUAGGUAUCCCGGAUCUAUGAGGAUUAGUGUCACCCAAUUUCUUGCUUUCAUAACUUGGAAGGUUUGAUGAUUCUCUUGCAGUGCUAGCUUUAGCGAGGAGGUCGGAGUGUGGUGCGUGUCAUCGGCUCUGUCAUGAAGAUCAUUUUCCUCCUAUUAGGAAAUGAUACGAUUUCUACGGUGUCCAACUGAUCCAUUCAUUUAGGUGGUUGUGGAUGUUGGAAUUAUUGCAUCAAUGUUUAGUCUUCCAAAACUGUUACUUAGAUUUUACAAGAAGUCUUUUUAGAAUUUGUAGUACAUGUAUCUAGUAAAUUGUGAUACAUGUAUUUAGUUAUUUGUGCAAGAGAUUUUGUUUUUUAUUUUGAGUAGUAUAAAUAGUGAUGUAGUUGAUGAUUGUAAUAAUCUCAAGAGGCUUUAAGUGGCUAUAAUAAACUUGAGCAUUUUCUAAA